UUUAAUCUAGAAUUGUAGUCAAAACACAAUUUUAAAGCAUCAUUGGAGAAGGUAAAAGAAGGAUUACAACCAUAUUUUUUAACAGAUUUUUUUUAAUGCUUCUAAUGUGUACAAUUUUUGACAAGUGCGUAUUAUUGUAAUAAUAUUACUUCAGCAGGUGACAAGUACAAAAUUGAUUUAAAACUUCUUAGAUUUCACUGUAUAAUUAUUUGUUUAAAACUUAAGGAUUAAGAGGGUCUAAGUGAGGUCUAAGUAACCUUUUUUUUGGCCAGCCAACACUGGCUAAAGGAAUAUCGGAUAAGUGCCCUAUAUCAAUUAAAUGGUUUUGACGAAACAGUUAAGUGGAAAGAAUAUGUAACAAGUAAUAUAACCCAGCAUGGUUGCAACUAAACUUGUCUUCUCUGUUUUGUCUACCCUGUUUUUUUACUUUCAAUUGGUGUCAAUGGAUUGUCCCAUUUUCCGCUAAAAAGAUACACUAUUGCUAGUGGUAAUAUAUUAAAUACAAAUUUAAGUGUGUAAACUAUUAAGAUUCCACCAAUUCCAGUGUUUAGUUAAUCAACGGGUUGCUGCAGGAAGAUAUGGCGGUGAAAACAUUAGCGCUUCCUAAUCUGUUUUAAAACUCAAACCCCCAACAUUUAAUCGAUAAAUGAGAAGUUGAAGAUAGCCUACCUAAAUUACAGAAGAUCACAAAGGCGGGGAAGACAUGUUUAAUAGCAACUGCAAAGCAUUACAUACACACUUCACAACCACAGAGUUUUAAUGUAUGGUUUCCUUCAGUUGAUAACAAGCAAUACUCUAGUUAACAGAAAUAAUAACAUACCGACGUGAUCAAAUGUGUGGCGUUCUUUAAUUCCACUAUUUUAACGGCCACUGCUUCCGUAUUUUCGUCAUUUACCGCCAAUUUCACUUCUCCAUAUGUUCCUUCGCCCAGCGUUUGAACAAAACUCCAUCCUUUAACAAAAGGAACCGACGGCACUGACAUAACAGUGACAGAAAAAUGUUUUCGAUAUGUUUUUUUUUGCAAAGUCUAUAUAUUUAACACGAUUACGGCUGUUUAUUCCGUUUUAAAGUGAAGGCGAAAA